GUCAGUGUCCUUAAAGCGGGUGUGUUACGCUAACAGUGGAUACGGUGCCCAGUGCCACCACUCACUGGUGUCACAAUAGCUUGCAUUUAAAAACAAAAAACUUAUUUCACUGUUAUAGAUUGAAUAGCAGUCAGUGUCCUUAAAGCGGGUGUGUCAGGCUCACAGUGGAUACGGUGCCCAUUUGCCCAGUCAGUGCCACCACUCACUCAUAUCUGGUGUCACAAUAGCUUGCAUUUAAAAACAAAAAACUUUUUUCACUGUUAUAGAUU